AGUGAACGCUGGCGGCAGGCCUAACACAUGCAAGUCGAGCGGAGCGGCGGACGGGUGUAUAAUGCCUAGGAAUCUGCCUGGUAGUGGGGGAUAACGUCCGGAAACGGGCGCUAAUACCGCAUACUAUUAGAUGAGCCUAGGUCCGGUUAGCUGGUUGGUGGGGUAAAGGCCUUUCAGGGCGACGAUCCGUAACUGGUCUGAGAGGAUGGUCAGUCACACUGGAGGUGAGACACGGACCAGACUCCUAGGUGAGGCAGCAGUGGGGUAGUGGGGACAGUGGGCGAAAGCCUUACCCAGCCGGGCCGCGUGUGUGAAGAAGGUCUUGGGAUUGGAAAGCACGUUAAGUUGGUAGACGGUACCAACAGAAUAAGCACCGGCUAACUUCGUGCCAGCAGCCGCGGUAAUUC
rnacentral:rRNA from 1 species